GAAUUCCUCAGCCAGCUAUACCUGGGUGUUGAAAUCCACAAGUCUUAAAAGUUUGGAGACCCCUUGCUCUAUGAGACCCAAGCCGUUUUCUUUGGAACUCUUUUUCUUUU